UACGGAGGGGGCAAGCGUUGCUCGGAAUCACUGGGCGUAAAGCGCACGUAGGCGGAUUGUUAAGUCAGGGGUGAAAUCCUGGAGCUCAACUCCAGAACUGCCUUUGAUACUGGCGAUCUCGAGUCCGGGAGAGGUGAGUGGAACUGCGAGUGUAGAGGUGAAAUUCGUAGAUAUUCGGAAGAACACCAGUGGCGAAGGCGGCUCACUGGCCCGGUACUGACGCUGAGGUGCGAAAGCGUGGGGAGCAAACAGG
rnacentral:rRNA from 1 species